rnacentral:rRNA from 1 species
GAGCGGCGAACGGGUGAGUAACACGUGAGCAAUCUGCCCUUCUCAUCGGAAUAACCAUUGGAAACGAUGGCUAAUGCCGAAUACGACCUCCUUUCGCAUGAUCGGAGGUGGAAAGCUCCGGCGGAGAAGGAUGAGCUCGCGGCCUAUCAGCUAGUUGGCGGGGUAACGGCCCACCAAGGCGACGACGGGUAGCCGGCCUGAGAGGGUGACCGGCCACACUGGGACUGAGACACGGCCCAGACUCCUACGGGAGGCAGCAGUGGGGAAUAUUGGACAAUGGGCGAAAGCCUGAUCCAGCAACGCCGCGUGAGGGAUGACGGCCUUCGGGUUGUAAACCUCUUUCAGCAGGGACGAAGCGAAAGUGACGGUACCUGCAGAAGAAGGACCGGCCAACUACGUGCCAGCAGCCGCGGUAAUACGUAGGGUCCGAGCGUUGUCCGGAAUUAUUGGGCGUAAAGGGCUCGUAGGCGGUUUGUCGCGUCGGGAGUGAAAACUCAGGGCUUAACCCUGAGCGUGCUUCCGAUACGGGCAGACUAGAGGUAUUCAGGGGAGAACGGAAUUCCUGGUGUAGCGGUGGAAUGCGCAGAUAUCAGGAGGAACACCGGUGGCGAAGGCGG